GCCAAGGCGCUGAAUGGGGAGCCGCGGCGCAGAGCCGGGCCAUUGUGGCCGCCGGGCCGGCGCUGAAAGGAGCCGCCGGGGAAGGUGGCGAGAAUAGGCGCUUAUUGGAUUCGGGAACAAAAGACAGGUCCGAGUGCUGUGUGCGAAGGAGAGCGCUGAGCGGAGGUGAAGCGAGUGAGCUGGAGCGCUGCUUCCGGGGAGGCAGCGGAUCGGUGCCCAUUGCGGGGCUGGGUGUUCCAGAGCAACCAGGCGAGGCCCAGGCAAAACUCUCCAGGAGCAGAGGGGCCGUUCACACCUCGUCAGGACAUGUAUGGGACAAACCCAGCCCAGCCUCACAGGAACAAAGGACUCUGGCCUAGGCAGCAACAAAGGAUCUGUUGGACUCUCAAAUGAGUUACCCCCCUUCCCUUGGUCAGGUGGGGACUACGAUGAGGUAAUGCUCACCUGACUCUGAAGGCGGGGUGGGGGGGAAGCCAAGAGGGAAGAAAGGACAUGAUAAAAGGGAGAGAUGUUUGCCAUGCUCUUCCUCUCUCUUCCACCUACAUCUACAGGCACCACCGCCAAGCGACUAAAGCGCUGAUCAAAGGGGAGAGCCUGGCUGAAGAGCAACCAGCCAGCCUGUGGUGAGAAGCAUCUAAGUUUGUAAGGGCAUUGAAAGUGUUA